rnacentral:rRNA from 1 species
AUUGAACGCUGGCGGCAGGCCUAACACAUGCAAGUCGAGCGGACGAAGGGAGCUUGCUCCUGGCUUCAGCGGCGGACGGGUGAGUAAUGCCCAGGUAUCUGCCCUGCAUUUGGGGAUGACGUCCGGACACGGGCGCUAAUAUCGCACACGUCCAGAUGGUGAAAGUGGUGGAUCUUUGGACCUCACGCUAUCAGAUGAGCCUAGGUCGGAUUAGCUAGUUGGUGGGGUAAAGGCCUACCAAGGCGACGAUCCGUAACUGGUCUGAGAGGGUGAUCAGUCACACUGGAACUGAGACACGGUCCAGACUCCUACGGGAGGCAGCAGUGGGGAAUAUUGGGCAAUGGGCGAAAGCCUGAUGCAGCCAUGCCGCGUGUGUGAAGAAGGUCUUCGGAUUGUAAAGCACUUUAAGUUGGGAGGAAGGGCAGUAAGUGAAUACCUUGCUGUUUUGACGGUACCAACAGAAUAAGCACCGGCUAACUUCGUG